rnacentral:lncRNA from 1 species
UACAGUCCUCCCGACAGCGUGUGGGAGAGCUGGAGCGGACGUUGUCUACUGUGUCGACGCAGCAGAAACAGGCAGACAGGUACAACAAGGACCUAACCAAAGAGCGAGACGCCCUCAAGCUGGAGCUAUACAAGAAUGGCAAAAGUAAUGAGGACCUGAGGCAGCAGAACUCAGAACUGGAAGAGAAACUUCGAGUCCUGGUGGCAGAGAAAGCAGCUGCACAGUUGGGGGCAGAGGAGCUGCAGAAGAAGUUAGAGAUGUCAGAGCUGCUGCUGCAACAGUUCUCUAGCCAAUCUGAGGCUUCUGGCAGUAAUGAGCAGUUGCAACAGGCCAUGGAGGAGCGGGCUCAGCUGGAGAGCCAUGUUGGCCUGAUGGAGUCACUGAAACAGCUCCAGGUGGAGAGAGACCAGUACGCAGAGAACCCCACUGCACAACAGAUCAUGCAGCUGCUGCGUGAGAUCCAGAACCCCCAGGAGCGCCCAGGCCUGGGUAGCAACCCUUGCAUCCCCUUUUUCUACCGUGCGGAUGAGAACGACGAGGUGAAAAUCAUGGUUAUAUAAGAGACUUUCGGCCAAAGCCUCACCAAGGGCAG